rnacentral:rRNA from 1 species
CCUACGGGUGGCAGCAGUGAGGAAUAUUGGUCAAUGGGCUUACGCCUGAACCAGCCAAGUCGCGUGAGGGAAGACUGCCCUAUGGGUUGUAAACCUCUUUUGUCAGGGAGCAAUUGGCGCUACGUGUAGCGUUAUCGAGAGUACCUGAAGAAAAAGCAUCGGCUAACUCCGUGCCAGCAGCCGCGGUAAUACGGAGGAUGCGAGCGUUAUCCGGAUUUAUUGGGUUUAAAGGGUGCGCAGACGGCAAUGCAAGCCAGGAGGGAAAGCCCGGGGCCCAACCCCGGGACUGCUCUUGGAAAUGGAUGGCUGGAGGACAGGAGGGGCAGGGGGAAGUCCUAGGGUAGCGGUGAAAGGGGUAGAUAUGAGGAGGAACACCGGAGGCGAAGGCGGCCUGCUGGACUGUGACUGACGUUGAGGGCCGAAGGCGUGGGGAGCAAACAGGAUUAGAUACCCCAGUAGUC